rnacentral:rRNA from 1 species
CCUACGGGUGGCAGCAGUGAGGAAUAUUGGUCAAUGGGCGCGAGCCUGAACCAGCCAAGUCGCGUGAGGGAAGACGGUCCUAUGGAUUGUAAACCUCUUUUGUCGGGGAGCAAAAGACGCCACGCGUGGCGUUCCGAGAGUACCCGAAGAAAAAGCAUCGGCUAACUCCGUGCCAGCAGCCGCGGUAAUACGGAGGAUGCGAGCGUUAUCCGGAUUUAUUGGGGUUAAAGGGUGCGCAGGCGGAAGAUCAAGUUAGCGGUAAAAUUAAGAGGCUCAACCUCUUCGAGCCGUUGAAACUGGUUUGCUUGAGUGAGCGAGAGGUAUGCGGAAUGCGUGGUGUAGCGGUGAAAUGCAUAGAUAUCACGCAGAACUCCGAUUGCGAAGGCAGCAUACCGGCGCUCAACUGACGCUCAUGCACGAAAGUGUGGGUAUCGAACAGGAUUAGAUACCCCGGUAGUC